CUAGAAGCUAUAAUUGUUGACCUAAAUUCAACUCACAUGUUAAUUUUCUGCACUUUAAUUUGGAGGUAGAUAAAACGAGUCCGCGCCAGUGCCCAGACUCUCUGGUCUUGCUGCUCCCCAUUGGCCACUUCAGAAGUCACAUGACGAAGGUGCCUUGUAAAUGAAGAUGUGGGGAGCACUGGAUUGCCCAUGUUUCUUGGCUUCUGGUUGUGGGUGCCUCUUCUCAGCAAGCUCUCCAUCAUGGUCGAGCCCUUCUUGGGAACUUGGAAACUGGAAUCCAGUGAGAACUUCGAGGAAUACUUGGAACAACUGGGCGUGCCCGGCACCAUCCGGCACCUGGCCGCCCUGGAGAAGCCCAGGAUCUGCAUCAGCGCCCACGGGGACAAGGUGAGCCUCAGGACAGAGACCUCUUUCAAGAACUUCGAGAUCUCCUUCAAGCUGGGGGAAGAGUUUGACGAAACCACAGCGGACGGCCGGAAAGUGAAGACAUAUCCUUAGGUGAGAAUUAACAAAAAAAUAUAAAUAAAAAAAUAAAAAUUUUAAAAGCACAUAGAGGAAAACAAUUCUCCACGGACCGUUUGGGUACCGCCUGCCUGGUGGAGGAGAGCGCUAACUGAAUAAUCCCUGGAGACUUCUCUAGUUGACAGUAUUAAAUUAUAACAGAACUGAGAGCAUCAUACGGUUGGACGGCGACUCAUUGGUCCAUGUCCAAAAAUGGCUUGGCAAGGAGACAACAGUCAAAAGACAAAUCGUAGAUGGGAAAAUGGUGGCG